rnacentral:rRNA from 1 species
GAUGAACGCUGGCGGCGUGCCUAACACAUGCAAGUCGAACGAAUCAGAUAUUCAACACUGAGUAUUUAGACGAAGGAAAAAAGUUAGCCAGCGUCAAGGACGAACGAUAGAGAGUCCUUUACGCGUUCAAAAAGUGUGCUAACACAUGAUAGUCUGAAUGUUGAGUGUUGAAUAUCUGAUUAGUGGCGGACGGGUGAGUAACGCGUGGGAAACCUGCCCUAUACAGGGGGAUAGCCUCGGGAAACUGGGAUUAAUACCCCAUAAAACUCUAGUAUCGCAUGAUACAUGAGCCAAAGAUUUAUCGGUAUAGGAUGGUCCCGCGUCUGAUUAGCUAGUUGGUGAGGUAACGGCUCACCAAGGCGACGAUCAGUAGCCGGCCUGAGAGGGUGAACGGCCACACUGGAACUGAGACACGGUCCAGACUCCUACGGGAGGCAGCAGUGGGGAAUAUUGCACAAUGGGGGAAACCCUGAUGCAGCGACGCCG